GCUGUGCGCCCUUUGAGCCAGGCCAGCGCUACCAGGAGUUCGUACGGGCGCUGCGGCCCGAGGCCCCGCCGCCCCCGCCGCCCGCCUUCUCCUUCCAGGAGUUCCUUCCCUCCUCGAACAGCUCCCCUCUGGACAUCAGAAAGAAGCUCUCUGGGCCUCUUCCUCCAAGGCUGGAUGAGAAUUCAGCUGAGCCAGGCCCUUGGGAGGAUCCGGGCACAGGCUGGCGCUGGCAAGGGACUCCAGGCCCCACUCCGGGCAGCGAUGUGGACAGCGUGGGUGGCGGCAGCGAGUCUCGGUCCCUGGACUCUCCCACUUCCAGCCCAGGCGCUGGCACGAGGCAGCUGGUGAAGGCUUCAUCCACAGGCACUGAGUCCUCAGAUGACUUUGAGGAGCGAGACCCUGGUGAGGCUGAAGCAGGGUAGGUCAGGAUGGGACAGGGCAGGGCACCAGGCACUCCUGACCCUGUCUCCCUGCAGACCUGGGAGACGGGCUGGAGAAUGGGCUGGGCAGCCCCUUCGGGAAGUGGACACUGUCCAGCGCGGCUCAGACCCACCAGCUGCGGCGACUGCGGGGCCCAGCCAAGUGCCGCGAGUGCGAAGCCUUCAUGGUCAGCGGGACGGAGUGUGAGGAGUGCUUUCUGACCUGCCACAAGCGCUGCCUGGAGACUCUCCUGAUCCUCUGUGGACACAGGCGGCUCCCAGCCCGGACACCCCUUUUUGGGGUUGACUUCCUGCAGCUACCCAGGGACUUCCC
rnacentral:sRNA from 1 species